rnacentral:rRNA from 1 species
CAGCAGCCGCGGGAAAACAGAGGGUGCGAGCGUUAAUCGGAUUUACUGGGCGUAAAGCGUGCGUAGGCGGCUUCUUAAGUCGGAUUUGAAAUCCCUGAGCUUAACUUAGGAAUUGCAUUCGAUACUGGGAAGCUAGAGUAUGGGAGAGGAUGGUAGAAUUCCAGGUGUAGCGGUGAAAUGCGUAGAGAUCUGGAGGAAUACCGAUGGCGAAGGCAGCCAUCUGGCCUAAUACUGACGCUGAGGUACGAAAGCAUGGGGAGCAAACAGGAUUAGAUACCCCCGUAGUCCCUGUCUCUUAUAC